GGAGGCGUAGCCCAGUUGGUUAGAGCGCCACGUUGACAUCGUGGAGGUCACAAGUUCGAGCCUUGUCGUCUCCACCA
rnacentral:tRNA from 2 species